GAGUAUGCCAGAGACGGACUGUACUUGGCUGACUGCGGGUUGUAACUUGGAGAGGUAGGGCUAUAGCUUGGUGAUGUGGGACUGUAACUUGGUGAGGUUGGACUGUACCCAGGAGAAGUGGGGCUAUAAGCGGGUGAAGUGGGGCUAUAGGAAGGAGAUGUGGGGCUAUAGGAAGGAGAUGUGGGGCUGUACGAAGGAGAUGUAGGGCUGUAUGAUGGAGAUGUCGGGCUGUAUGAUGGAGAAGUGGGGCUAUAUGCAGGAGAAGUGGGGCUAUAUGCAGGUGAAGUGGGGCUAUAUACGGGUGAAGUGGGGCUGUAGCUAGGUGAAGUGGGACUGUAACUGGGGGAUGUGGGACUGUAACUUGGAGAUGUAGGGCUGUAACUUGGAGAGGUAGGGCUAUAGCUUGGUGAGGUUGGAGAAUAUGAGGGGCUGGUAGGAGAGUAGGCUGGACUUGUCGGACUGUAUCCUGGUGAGCUAGGACUGUAAGUAGGUGAUGUGGGGCUGUAACCAGGAGAGGUGGGACUGUACCCAGGAGAUGUAGGACUGUAACCAGGAGAGGUAGGACUGUAACCAG
rnacentral:lncRNA from 1 species